UACGUAGGUGGCAAGCGUUAUCCGGAAUUAUUGGGCGUAAAGCGCGCGCAGGCGGUUUCUUAAGUCUGAUGUGAAAGCCCACGGCUCAACCGUGGAGGGUCAUUGGAAACUGGGGAACUUGAGUGCAGAAGAGAAAAGCGGAAUUCCACGUGUAGCGGUGAAAUGCGUAGAUAUCGAGAGGAACACCUGCGGCGAAGGCGGGUUGCUGGGCUGACACUGACGCUGAUGCGCGAAAGCCAGGGGAGCGAAACGGG
rnacentral:rRNA from 1 species